rnacentral:rRNA from 1 species
UACGGGGGGAGCAAGCGUUGUUCGGAUUUACUGGGCGUAAAGGGCGCGUAGGCGGCCACCGCAAGUCAGUUGUGAAAUCUCUGGGCUUAACCCAGAACGGUCAACUGAUACUGCAGGGCUAGAGUGCAGAAGGGGCAACUGGAAUUCUCGGUGUAGCGGUGAAAUGCGUAGAUAUCGAGAGGAACACCUGCGGCGAAGGCGGGUUGCUGGGCUGACACUGACGCUGAUGUGCGAAAGCUAGGGGAGCGAACGGG